rnacentral:rRNA from 1 species
CCUACGGGAGGCAGCAGUAGGGAAUCUUCCACAAUGGGCGCAAGCCUGAUGGAGCAACACCGCGUGAGUGAAGAAGGGUUUCGGCUCGUAAAGCUCUGUUGUUGGAGAAGAACGUGCGUGCGCGUAACUGUUCACGCCGUGACGGUAUCCAACCAGAAAGUCACGGCUAACUACGUGCCCGCAGCCGCGGGAAUACGUAGGUGGCAAGCGUUAUGCGGAUUUUUUGGGCGUAAAGCGAGCGGAGGCGGGUGCUUAGGUCUGAUGUGAAAGCCGUCGGCUUAACCGAAGAAGUGCAUCGGAAACCGGGCGACUUGAGUUCAGAAGAGGACAGUGGAACUCCAGGUGUAGCGGUGGAAUGCGUAGAUAUAUGGAAGAACACCAGUUGCGAAGGCAGCUGUCUGGUCUGCAACUGACGCUGAGGCUCGAAAGCAUGGGUAGCGAACAGGAUUAGAUACCCGAGUAGUC